rnacentral:rRNA from 1 species
AUGCCGAUCGCCAUGGACACUGGAGGCGCACCGGAGCCGGAGCCGGAGGAGGAGACCGUCGUCCUCCCUCAUUGGGUGGUGCUGGACCGCAAGGGCAACACCCUCUGCCACAACAGCCUAGAAGCUGCUCGUGUGGCUGUCGACAAGGACAAGACCGCCGCUCCGGUCGACAUGGACGGCGGCCCCUCCUGCUACGUGACCUUCACCCUCGCGGCUCCUCAAAAAGGGAUCUCCUGCCUCAACCUCCACUUGCCGGAGGGACCUCCAAUUGCCUUAGACACCCCGCCCGCCUAUGCCUUCCUCCUGGCAACCGACAACAACCUCGUCCUCUUCGACAUCACCAACCCGCAGAAAAAAGUCAAGGAAAUCGUCCUCUUCGACAUCUCCAACCCGAGCCGGAGUUGCUACCGGGAGCCCCCGGCAGAUCUGUUCAUCUACAAGGCCGGCGGUCCUCGCCCCUCGGUGCAGGGUCUCCCUCCCUUCGCCGAGUACAGUAGAAGGCCGUUCCUGACGGGUGACCUCACCACAGGCAUCCUGCAGCUCGCGGAGGACCACUUCAUUGUUGCCGACCUCAAUGUCUACCCCAAAAGAAAGGGCAUGCGUGCCGAACUCUGCGUCUUCAACUCCGAGACUGGAAAGUGGAAAAUCAUCCCCAAAAUGGACCCGGGCAAUGGCGGCCAGUUCCCCGAACUCUGGUCAACCGACAAUGUGCUCGCUUUCGACGGCCGUUUCCUGUGCUGGGUCGACUACUUCAGCGGUGUCCUGCUAUGUGACUUCUCCAAAAAUAUGGACGCCCCGUCGCUCUGCUUUGUGCCUUUCCCUGGAGGAAAAGAGUACCGUGGUAAGGUACGGGUUGAAAGGUACUUCCCGGACAGAUUCCGAAGUGUGUCCAUCAGCCAAGGCAAGCUCUGCUUUGUCCACAUUGACAAUGACUUCCAUGACAGAGUCCCUGGUCGCUGCCGCCGAUGCCUUGAGCUUCCCGAUAGAAAAAGGCAAACUCCCCAGAAAAUCACCAUUUGGACUUUGAACUCCGAGUUCCAGUGGGAGCUGCACCGCAUGUUCAACCUGGAUUCUCUCUGGGCGCAAGCUGGUUACCGAGAUCUGCACAUACAUCAGCGUCUUCCUGAGUUCCCAACCAUCAGCUUGGAUGACCCCGAUGUUCUGUGCUGCCUGUUAACCGAGGAGGAAUUUGAUGGUAAUGGGUGGAUGAUCAUGCUUGACAUGAACCAUGCAUGUCUGCGGUCAUGUGAGUCUGUGGGUAUGGAAGCUCAUGUUAACAGGUUUCCUAAUGUCCCUCUACUCCCAACUGUCUUCUGCAAAUACCUUGAAAGGCCAACAGGUAACUAG